UAAAUUGAAUUGCCGCCUCCUCGUUUUACGCGAAGGAAACGAAAAAACGUCACUUUGCCACGUCAAAAAUCACUGAAAUUGUUUUUACUUUAAAUUGUUUCCCAAAGUGCUAGAUGAUAUCAUUUAAACGGCUAUGCAUU
ensembl:ncRNA T19C4.20 ncRNA